CAAAGCUCUGCCCAUAUUGACACACAAAAGUGCCAGAUGCUUCCCAUCCAGAGGAGAGGAUGAAGGUCAAUGGGCAAGUGUGCUUGUUGUGAAGCAUUUUACCGACUGAAUUCUUCCUGCGCUGUCAGCAGUACCUGGACUCACCUCUGAGGUCUGGAUUUAGCUGGGACUGAGAGCUGAGACAUUAAUUAUGAAGCAGAGGAUGUGCUUGGAACUAGAGAACCAAUUAAAGGAGAAGCAUGCACUGUGGCUGGUCCUUUCUUGAGACAUCUAGAAUAUCAUCUACUCUUCCAUGAAAGAAAUUGCAUCAAUGCUUCCUAAAGCUGAAGGUCAAGAAGAGAUGGAAGGGAAUGAAGCACAGGACAAAACUUUGAGAGACCUGGCUGAUAUAUAGAAUAAGAAAAGAGAUCUCCAACCUUCCUUUCAUCCAAAAAAUAAAUAAAUAAAUAAAUAAAUAAUAAAAAAGAAACUGUGUAAUCUAAU
rnacentral:lncRNA from 1 species